GAGUUAGAGAAUCGGUGAAAACACAUUGCCAUCUGCCUUUUAAGCAGCGGGUCACAGGUUCGAUCCCUGUACGGCUCACCA
rnacentral:tRNA from 1 species